GCUGGGCGUGGUGGCGUGUGCCUGUAAUCCCAACUACUCAGGAGGCUGAGGCAGGAGAAUCGCUUGAACCCAGGAGGCGGAGAUUGCGGUGAGCUGAGAUUGCGCCACGGCACUCCUGCCUGGGUAACAGGGCAAGACUCUGUCUCAA
ensembl:misc_RNA Metazoa_SRP Metazoan signal recognition particle RNA